GCCAGGCGUGGUGGCUCACGCCUGUAAUUCCAGCACUUUGGGAGGCUGAGGUGGGUGGAUCACCUGAGGUCAGGAGUUCGAGACUAGCCUGGCCAACAUGGUGAAACCCCAUCUCUA
rnacentral:SRP_RNA from 1 species